rnacentral:lncRNA from 1 species
CCCGAGUGAGCCCGUCUCGCCGCCCCUCGCCCUAUGACACGCGUGCCAGGCUGGGGCUCCGCCGCCGCGGCCGUGCCAGGGCAGGCUUUACCUGAUACCGGUCCCUUUCGGCUCGCCACGCCCCUCCCCUCCGCCAGUGGUGAGCAGGAGGAGCUCCGCGCGGGCGCCGCCCGGCUCUGGCUAUAAGAUCGAGACCGAAUCUCUCAGCGGAACCCACACAGCCGUGAGCAUGGCGUCCUCGGCGAGGUCCACUCCUCCGACCUCCAGGAGAAUGGACGGCGUCAACCUCCCGACCCACAAGUGCGACGUGGUCGUCAUAGGGGGAGGCAUCUCAGGUCUUUCUGCUGCCAAAUUGUUGGCCGAAUAUGAAAUUGAUGUUGUGGUUUUAGAAGCACGGAACCGAGUCGGAGGAAGACUUACACUGUGA